rnacentral:rRNA from 1 species
AGCGUAUAUUAAAGUUGUUGCAGUUAAAAAGCUCGUAGUUGGAUUUCUGUUAAUAUUUUAUAUUAUUAAUUUAUUAUUAUUAAUAUAAUAUUAACAUAAUUCAUAUUACUUUUUUUGAGUAUAUGAAAUUUUACUUUGAGAAAAUUAGAGUGCUUAAAGCAGGCUUUUGCCUUGAAUACUCCAGCAUGGAAUAAUAUUAAAGAUUUUUAUCUUUCUUAUUGGUUCUAAGAUAGAAAUAAUGAUUAAUAGGGACAGUUGGGGGCAUUUGUAUUUAACAGUCAGAGGUGAAAUUCUUAGAUUUGUUAAAGACAAACUAAUGCGAAAGCAUUUGCCAAGGAUGUUUUCAUUAAUCAAGAACGAAAGUUAGGGGAUCGAAGACGAUCAGAUACCGUCGUAGUC